GUAUGGUCAUCUGCAUCCAAAACUAAUCUUGCAAAAUUACAAGUCUCACAAAAUAGGGCUGCUAGACUGUUCUGGGCUGCUCAAUAAGAACUAGCACUGAAAAGUUGCAUUCUAGCCUCUCUUGGCUCACCAUUGAGCAAAGGAUUUUUUUUAACUAUGGCCACAUUUUUUAGCUGCAUUAUUAACUUAAAAAAUCCAGUAUUUUUAUUUGAGCAAAUAAUUUAUUGCAAUAACCCACAUAAACACAACACUAGAUUUGCCAGUAAUGGUCAUAUUGUGGUUCCCAGUCUAAGGACUAACUCAUUGCAAAAAACUGUUAUUUACAGAGCCAUAACAUACUGGAAUAGUUUACCUUUCAAAAUCCGGCUAAUUAAAAAUAAAUUAUCCUUUAAAAAGGACAUACAGAGGUAUCUGCUGGCCUGUAGAUGAAUGUGAAAAGUAGAAGGUAUGCUCUGUGCGUGUUUACAAUAUUGUGUGUUUCUACAAGUUGUGCUAUUUUUUCUUUGUCUUUUCUGACUUUUAAAAAUAUAUAUAUAAAUAUUUUCAAUAUAUUGAUUAUUUAGUAUUCUACUUUAAUGUAUGUAGCCUACAGUGUACCCAAUUUUGAACUGAAAUGACUGAAUGUAAUUCCUUUUUUUCUUCUUCUUCUUUAUUUUCUUUUUUUCUGUUUAACUUUAAUAUAAACAUAAGCUUUGUAUUUUAUAAUGUAAAUUGAUGAAAUUGUAUGUUUUAUAUGUAAUGUAGUGUAAUAUAUUGUAUGUAAGGUGUGGACCCCAGGAAGACUAGCUGAUUGCCAAGGCAUUCAGCUAAUGGGGAUCCUUAAAAUAAACAUAAACAU